GUUUGGAUAAUUCUCAGUACAAGAUUAAACAUGAAACGAAUCUGAUAUGGAGACUAUGAUGUAGGAUAGUAUAGUCUGCGUAGAAAGCAUCUGAUAUGGAAACUAUGAUGUAGGAUAGUAUAGUCUGCGUAGAAAGAUAAGGAAGUACAACCGAACCGUCAGUGAGCCACGGUAUGUCCGUUUGUGAGCGGUGGUCGGAGCGCGGUGGCGUGGGCGGGGGCCGCCCUCAAUCGACCGGUGGUUCUUCUCCGUUUCGUUUCCCUCCUGCGAGAUCCGAGCAGCAGCCUACGGAGGUAGAAAAGCGAGGAGCUCGCGCGCGCGCGGCGAGUCCUGAGCCGGCGGCCGCAGGUCCCGAGCCAACGGCCUUGGAUCCAGGCGGGAAAGGGGCGACCGCCUCAAGGGCGGAGGUGGUUGGGGACGGGGCAACGACCCCGAGCGUGGCAGUCGACGGGGAAGUGGCGACAUCCCCAACCGCAGCAGCGGACGCAAUCUCUGAUCAGGAAUUGGUUUUCCUCCUGUGGUCUUCCUAUUUGAGGUGGAUCGACGGGUCCCGUGUAUGGCGAAGCUCGGUGGCGGAGAUCGAACAGGAGACCUGCGGAUUCAUGCGGAGCGUAGCUCAGUGGCGGAGAUUGAAGAGGAGGUGAUGGGUCCAUGUGCGGUGGAGUUUGGCAACUAACGGCGUGAUAGGUGAUACAUUUGAGCUACUGCCGGGCUUCCUGAAGACUGCGUCGCGCCCGCCAUGAGUAUGAUGACGACCUCGGCUUCGAUAGGCGACGAUGACCACCGGGGGCUCGAUGGGACAGUGUUGCUGUCGCAUGUGCCUGCUGUGGUGCUUGUGUUUGUGGCCAUCAUGCACAUUUGCGUCCUGCCGCCAUGGGGACCGGAUGGAGUUCAUCUAUAUACCAAGAGUAUAGCUACCUUUUCGAGAUGGAUUUCCUAUGUUUUUUAAGCUCCAAAGACGCAGUUCGGCACCAAAGUAUGGCAGAGGGAAGGGAAUGCACCAAAUAUAUAAGGAUGAUAGGUUUAGGGCUUCAGCUCCUUGCCCUCCAGUGCAAGAAUUUCACCAGCCUGGAUGUCUCUUACACCAUGGUGAGUGCUGCAGGUUUUCAUUAUUGUCGAACUGAGCUUCUAUUAUGGUAUCCCCUCUAUGGAUGUGAUUGAUGGUAGGAUCAGAAGUAACCUAUAAAUGAUGAAUUAGGCCUGAAUGCUGUUUAGAUUAAAUAGCAGUUUGAAAGAAGAGUUAGUAUUCUAGGUGCUACUGUAAGGGGAAAAAAAGGAGAGGAUCACUGAGCUACAACUCAGUAGGUUAGAUAUCUGCUAAAGUAGACUGAAUGCGUUGGAUGGAUAAAAGCAAUAACUCUGAAAAUGACAAACUCUGCAUUUGCUUAUGUGUUCCUUUUAAGUCUUAUUUUUUUUCUC